rnacentral:lncRNA from 10 species
AGGGAGGCUCUUUCUCCGACCCGCUCGGGGUGAGGCGGCCGUGCGCCCAGGGCGCGGCGCGGCGCGGCGCGACGCUGCCGGAGUGCUAGGCUCCGGCUGCAGCCACCGCUGCCUUUGUCUUAGAGGCGCCGAGGGGCUCCAGCCUCGACCUCUCCCGGGCCUGUAAGAACCUCGCGCCCCACUAGCUCUUUCUCCAGCGAAGCCCUGCCCUCACCACCCCAGACAUCCUUCCCCGCGCUCCUCUUUCCCGUCCCCAACCCGGCUCGGCGAAACCUCCCAGUGCCAGAGAAAAAGAAAUCCGCUUCGGAAGCUGAGAUUUCAGACAAAAGCUGCCUGUACCUACAACUCGGAGGCUCCAACCAACCACUGUUUUUUGUUUUGUUUUGUUUUUAACUUUAACACCUAUUGCCUGGGCUUUAAUUCCCCCUCACCCCUUCUCUUUAUUCUCCCGCUCUAAGCUUCUCCCUUGUGAUUAUAUUUAGUGGCGUUAUUUUCGUAUUUAUAUUUCUGUCCGCUGGGCUCUGAUCUGCCGAGAUGGCUCAGCCGCAGCAGCUCUACCAGUGGCUGGAAACCUCACAUCCACAAGCAGGGCUCGCAGCUCGCUCGGCUCCGAGAGGAUUUUUCCCCCUCCCUCCAGCUGAAACCUCGCAGAAAACUCCCCCUGCGGUCGACUGGAAAAUGAGCUCACCCAAAUCUCGGUAGGCAGCCGUGGAGGAGUGCUCGGCCAAUCAGGAGGCGCCCCCGCCCAGGCCGCCGCGCAUUGGCUGCGGGGAAAAUCAAUUAUCAAAUAAUCGAUCAGCAGGGAGCUUCGAUCUGCGGGGAAUGCGAACUGCCAGUCCCUAUUCCCGCCCUGAAGGUGGCCAAAAGGCUGACUCCCUCCAAGCAGCCCGCCCGCGCCUCCAUCGCCCCCACCCACGUCCCACUCGCCAGCUGCGGACUGAACCCUCACCCUCAAGGGGGUGUAGGUAGGGAAAGAGUUUUGAGCAAGAUUGGGGGUAUCCCUUCAUCCGAAGAUUGUUUGGGAAAGGUUAGGAGCUCUAAAAUGUAUUGAAGCCAACUCUUAAGCGCAAAGUAAAAGAUAAUUUGCGUCCGUCUGCGAGGUAGGACUGAAGAUUCUAUAGAGUGGGCUUCCGAGGAGCAGGAGACACAGGGCGAGCAUGAGAACAUAGGUCUGGAAUGAGGUUCCACCGAGCGUCCGUAGUCUCCUUAGGCGACAUCUAUCGCUUCCUUUAGCACUUCGCAGGAGUCAACGCGGGGUUGGUUGCCCCCAACAGUGGAGCGUUUCCAUAAAGCCGAGCAGAUGAGCCUUCCCAGCCGCCUGCACUGCACCCUUCCCCGCCCCCAACUCCGUACUGGCACCCUGUGUGCCUGAAGGGCUGACACACGUUCUCCCAAAACCUUCAGAAGCGCUUUGCCUUGAAAGAGCUCUCCCUCGUGUGUGUGUGUGUGUGUGUGUGUGUGUGUGUGUGUGUGUGUGUGUGUGUGUGUUUAAACCAUCUCCAGGAUCCCUUAUCAUUUGCUUCCUCUCUCCUUUUUCUCUCUGUUUCUCCCUGUCUUUUUUCUGACGCUUAAGUUUCAGGAUCUUUUAGUUUUUUUCCAUCACAUACAUGUGUAGGUUUUCUGGUACAAACGCCCUGAAACAUCACUUGGGAGGUUAAGACAGGCCCGCGAGUAAAAGCUGGGGACGGAGUGGGUGGGCAGCCAGGUGCAUUACCAGCGCCUUUAUGCCUCUGCCUACACUUCCCGGCCUCCCCCCAUCCCCCCACCCCCCCACCCCACGCCUCACCGUCGCUCCCCGGCCCCACAACAUGAACUUGGAAGCAGAAUUUCAGGCCAAGAUGGAACCUCCCCGUCUCAGGAAGGCGAUUUCUGUUUAAUCCUUGGGAGGCUGCGCUGGCUGGGCCAGGCAGCACGCUCCUUUUCCGAUUAGGGAAAGGACUAAGCUGGGCCGGCAGUCUGCGACCCCUUCCCGGAACCCCAGCCGACUUCGGGGUAUACCUGAGCGCCUUCCGAUGGCUGCUCGCGGGGGUGUGAUCAUCGUCCCCGCAUCAGGCCCGCCAGGCAUCUGCGCGACUCGGGGACCAAACACCGACAGGGCACACCUACGUUUAUGAUCCUUAAAUGAACUGCGAGGGAAAUUGUGUAAGUAUAAUUUAACUGAGAGAAAUUUAUUGCGAAAUACGCUUAGAGGACUGUGGUCUUUAACAGCCUCAGGGGUUCUUCGGCAAAGAGGUAACGGGGCUUGGAUUUACCACAACUCUGCGGCCACGUUUUCAAAUUUGGAAAAGCACAGAUGAGAAAAGAAGGUUCAGGCGAUUUAUGCGAGAAAGGGCCAAUUUGAACACUGGUAACUAGUGGGAGAAAUAAACUUAUAAGCCACAAACACAUCGGUUCGCAACCGAGCCCACAGCCCCGCGAGGCGCCCCUUCUUCCCAGCUCCCGGAGGAUAACUUCAUUGACUGGCAGGUCGGCGGCCACUUCUGGGAGGGCCACUGUUUACCGAAUGAGAACCUCUCAUGGCACAGUCCUUACAGCAGGGCUGCCCUGUCGCCCUUGCGCGUCCGGGUGCCGGGUCCCGGCGGUGUUCUGCAGCGCGAUCCGGUCCCCGUGCCCUGAGCCACCCAGAGCCCUGGGCCUGCCUGCACCCUGGGGCGCGCUGACUCCCUGGGUCGGGUGGGGGUCCCGGCAGGAUGCACUUCCAGCUGCGGGGUCCGCGGAGUUUGCUCGCACCUGGUUUGGCGCAGGGACGUAGGUUUGGGGGACUGUGUCCCCUGGGAAGAGCAAAAGGUGAAAAGGUCCCCUCUCCCACCAGUGUGCCCCAUCCCCGCCAGUUUUGACUGCGAUCCUAUUUUUCUCUUUGGGGGUCGCCUCAGCCUGUGCCGGAGGGAGUUGGGAGUUGGUCAGGCUUGGGCAGCGGUGGGUGGCAGCCCGGGAGCCGGAGCAGGAGCGCGAGGACCCGCGGACUGGGGCGCAGCGACGAUGGCGCACCGGCUUCUGUCUUCUGCUGCUUUGGGGCUGAGCAUCCGAGGGCGCCUUUCUCCCCAGCUGGACUCGGGGACGCCGGAUCACCCCGCCACCUGCCUCUUGGCCUAAUUCUGGAAGCUUCUCGCCUCCGUUCCUGGACGGCUCUUCCUCAGGGGCAGCAAUGAGCCCCGGGGUGCGCUCAUCUCCUCCGAGAUCAAUUGCUCUACGAUUCCUUUUAGGACUUGCAGGGGGGAGAGGUUGGGGACCCCGGCCCCAGAGUGGCUCCUGCGGCACGGCGGCCCACUCGGAGGGGUCGCAACAAGCGCGCAUUUGUGGCCAAGGUUGUGAUUUCAGGUGCGCUAAUGGGAUCAGACGUCCUGGGAGAAGCGUGAGGGGAUUGGUGCCGUUCCUUCUCCCGGCUUCCAGCGGCCGCCGGGUGGAAGUGGGGACACAGGAGGGCCGCGCUACGGGCGCCCAGCGCGGGCGCUCACACCUCUUGAGGAGGCGUGGAACCCAGCGCCCCAGGUGGGGGUAGGGCGCGGGGGUAUAGGUAGUGAGGGGUGACGCUGGGAGAGGACCGGGAGACGGAGGAAAGGAGACAGCCGGGGACACUACUGAGAGAGGGAGUAAGAGAGUGCGCUGCAGAACCGGGGACAGAGCGGCAGAACCGACCGAGAGCUGGAAUUGGAUUGCGUCCUGUCCCAGCACCAGGACACAGAUAAACAGCCUCCCAGCACUGGUACUCGCCAGAGAAGGGGAAACCCGCGUCCCGCGCUGCUGCUUUCUGCUUCGGAGAACCUUAUCUAGACUUUUGCAUAAUUGCGUGUUGGCUUUCCUAAAUAAUUCGGAAGAGCGAUUUCUGCUUCCACUUGUUCACAUAGGCAAACAAUCCCUGUGGGGAAAAUGUGUGUGUGUGUGUGUGUGUGUGCGCGCGCGCGCGCGCGCGUUCCGGUGACAAUUGAGGCCAGAGGCAAACACAUCCUCUUUCAAAAUGUCCCUUAGGUGAUCCCGUAAAUGACUGUCCUGCUCUAGGCAGUGGGAGUCAUCAUCCACUGGGUAGGGGGCUGUGAUUACUCUGCCUAGGGACCACUUUUCACAGCUCCUUCCCCACCGUAGAUAAGGGUGUUAAAUCAAGGCAUUUAGUUCUACUUUUCCAUUGCACAGAUAAGCAAGCUGAGACCCAGAUAGGUUAAGUGAAGUAUCCAAUUUCUUCUCUCCUUUUCUUUUCUGUAUGCCUCAAGAUGGUUUUAUACACACACACACACACACACAUACAUACACACACACACACACCCUGAACUACGAAAAACAUCACAACUACGGAAGAAACAUUUUUUACUCUUCUUAUUUCCUAAGAAGACCAAAAGUCAGAGCUUGUCUUCUGUCAGAAGCAGAUGGGUGUGUGAUGGCAGUGUGUGAGUGUGCAAGUGUGGGGGGGCUGGGCGUUGGCGCCAUCCUUCCUCCUUCCCUGCUCCAUCCCUGACUCCAUCACCGAGCCCCUUCAGGGAAACACAAGGCAGGAGGUUGUACCGCUAUGCAGAAGACCCCUCCAGGUAGGGAGCUUGAAGAAAUGAAACAGCAGGGAGAACCUGUAUUUGGUGGUGAAAGUGCUGGAAUCUUCUAGGCCUUGCUCAUCUCCAACCAGCUACUUCUCCAAAAUAAAGCAAAACAAAACAAAACAAAACAAGGCAAACAACAACCACCACAGGCCUUUUGCAUCAACUUCCUGUGACUAAGUGACCCUAAGCAGAGAACUGGCUCAGGUCACUUAGGGCAGGGGUAGGACAUUGAAGGCCUUAUUUACUCCAGGAUUAAAAACAGCAUCCCCUCUAACCCUGUCUCUCUUGGGCAGCCUGUCUUUUAAGGAUGUGAAAAGCAGCUUCUUGGAGUCUAAACAGGCACAAUACCCCACUGGGAUGUUUAGGUAUCAGGUUCACAAAAACAGCAUUUUACUCCUGCUUCCCCGAACCCCUUUGCAACCCAGGCUACCAUACUCUUUGCAAGAAUAUCCGGUAUCUUUUCCGGGCAAAAUGAAUUGAGUUGGCACUUCCUGAAAUAUUUUUAUUUUUAGCUUCAAAUAAUUUUGCUCCUAAAACAAAUUAGUUACUUAUCCUCUUCUCACCAUGCCCUAAUUAUUUUUAGCUUUAUUCUAAUUUUUUUUGUUACCUUGAAUUUUGUCUUGAUUUGAGAGUUUGGUAUAGAAUACUUGUUUGCAGACUGGUAAUCUGCAGUUUAUUUUGUUUUUAAAAAACUCUGUGAAGUUUACUGUUGUUUUAAAACUCAUGGAAUAUUAACAAAAAAUAACCUAAUAAUAUUCUUCGAGGCUUAAACUUUGGUUAUAGUCUAUGUCCUAGCCUAGCUUUUAUGAUAAGCCUGUUGCAUUUUAAAGGUGCUUAUUGAUUCACAUGUCUUUCAGUAAAAAAUCUUUUGAGGAACCCAGACUUUUGAAAGCUAUUUAAUUUGCAUGUAUUUGGUCAUUACAGGCUAAAACUGAAGAAUGAGUUUGGAAAUUGGUUCUAUUAGAAAACACUGUUUGCACAUCCAAAUGUUCCCAGUCAAGAUUUCCCAAUAGUGGCAGUGAGAAAGAGAGGCAGAGAGAAUUAGGAUACUUGGGUUCAAAUUUUAGCUUAGUCACUGAUGGGCUGAUUGAGUGAGAAGAACUUAAUCACCUGCAAAAUGAAUUGCUUACAGUAUUUUGAUCUCUAAAUACACUUUUGAUUCUGAUAUUUAAUGAUUUUGUAUUACAAAAUUGGGCAGAAAACGCAUAGCUUCAUAACAAGCAAAAAAUUUUACUGUUAACACAUCAUACUUAUUUUAGAGUAAAUUUGAAGGAGGUUGAUGUUUUGGAAUUUGGUUGGAGAGUUAUCCAAAAGCAAUGUUUCCCUGACUCAACUACAACCAAUUACACACAGUGGCCAGUAGGAAAAGGAUUAAGUUGUCCAGACAAAAUAUAAUGGUAACAAAAAAUAAUCUUGUGCUUUUGACAUCUUUCUGUUUACUUGUUUUUGUCUUGUUCUAAUGCCCCCUGAAUUACUAUUUUCUAAAAAACAGUCUCAUCUAAAAUAAAACAUAGUAAUGUGUUUUCAAAUGAGACAUUUUAUUGUAGUUACGAUUUCUUUUGUAUAUUUUCCUAAUGCAGACUACAAUAAAUACACUAAAAUAUUUCAAAUGGUUUGCUUGUGUAUAUGCUCUUAAGUCGUCUUUAUCCCACUUUGGGAAGCAUAUGCUGUGUUCUGAACAGUUUUAACUUUAUAUAUCAGCAUGACUAAGUCCUUUCAACAACUAUCACGCAAAGACCACGGAGAGCAGAACUAUUCAGGAUAUCAAGAAAUGAACACUAAUGAAUAGGAAACAAUGAACCCUAAUUUUAGGAAGAAAUUAGUUUUGCAAUUCAGCAUUGUCAUUUAAAGUGGAAUUGUGUCUCGUAAAACUUCUGUAACUGCCAUACUUGUUGCUAUCAGUAAAUUCUAUGAAGUCUCUAUUUUACACGACAGCAUUUUGAAAUGUAAUUGCUACAGUUUUAGAUAUUUCUAAGGCCUGAAUUUAUUAUAACAGGCAAUUUUUGAAAAAUAUACCAGAUUCAAUUAAAAAAUGGCAAUAAUUUCUCAUAAAAACCUUCAAAACAUUGAAAUCUGUGUUUUAUAUUCCAGGGAAUAAAAACAUAAAAACUUUACUUUGGACUUAAAAAAAAAAUUCAUUCACUCUCAAUUCCCCGCUUCUUUGAGAUCCUCCCGACAGGGAAAUUGUCAGAAGAAUUCCUUAAUACCUUCAGGCACUGUAAACUCCACAUAUGGAUCUUUAAGUCUGAAAAUGACAACUUAGAUUUUCGUUGAAAGAUAUACCUGAAAGAACUAAAGUAAACAGAAAGAUGUCAAAAGCACAGGAUUUUUUUUGGUACCAUUAAAUUUUGUCUGGAUAUUUGUUGGUGUUUUAGAAGUUAAAACACUUAGUCCCGUCUCCACUGGCCAGACAACAAAAGUUGUCUAACUUUUGGAGGCACUUUCCCUACUGCCUAAGCAUGCUAAGGCAUUGCUUAGCAUGACCAGGAUGCUUAAGAACUUGAAAUUCACAAAGUUGAAAAUAGAGAGUUAUGGCUCUUUUAAUAACUGUCACUUUAUCCUGAUUCUCAGUCAAUAUCCAAGCACAAUGUAGAGUGUGGAUGAACUUCAAAUGCUCUGGAACCAGCUACUGCUUUGAAGGUCAAACUCAGUCAUAUUUAAAAUUUCAGCAAUAUCACACUACUGGCAAUUGUUGGCUCAAUGAGACCAACUGCUCUCCUGACCUGGUAAGAACCAAGUGCCCACAGCCGCUUUCCUGACUUAUGAUUCUGUAUCUGGUAGCUACCUUUUUUCUCCUUGAGUAUUUAACGCUCUUUAAUUUUGCACUUUUGCAUUUCUUUGACAGUUGGCUAGCAUCCUUUAAAAAUUCUAGCCUAAUUUAGACCAAAAAGUACUAUAUAUUUUUGGAUAUUCUUAACCCGUUAGGUGCUUAGGGCUUAUUUGUUCAGGAGUUCAACCAAUAAGCCUUCCUCAGUGCUUUUAGCUUUUUACUCCAGGAAGGAAUUAGUUUGAAUUGCUCCAAAAUUGUCUUCUUUUUAUUUUCUCUUUCCUUUCCUAUGAGUCUGUAAUUUAGUUCUGCUGACACAGUUGAUUAACCCCAUACUGGGGAGUUGAUUAAAAACACUUUCUAAAAAUGUAUACUCCUAUUGCUGGUAUUAGUCAGCAUUUUUUUUGGCCUAUCACUUUUUAAGUUUCAGUUUAUCAAAAUCUUUCCACUCCAAUAAUUCUAAAUGGGCACACUUUAAAAGCUACAUACCUAGUUCUUUUUAAUAUAGGCUAUUCUUACGGCACUCUCUCUAAUGUACCUCCUAUAUUAGAAUCAUUCCAGGGAGCAGCAAGUGGUCUUAAAGACAUCUAUAAAGCCAUAUAUGAGCCAGGAGCUGAUGUGAACAAUAAUCACAAAUCUAUGAGCCAAGUUUGUUCUUCUCUUUGUGCUUAGGGGACCAUUCAGUUGUGCGACAGAUUCCCUCUUGAAGAACACUUCCUCAAAAAAAUUCUUAACCAUUGUCAUAGACUGAAGGAAGCUGCUCGGGGUCAUUACGUACUUUGUACUCUCCAGUUAACCUAGACACCAAAGCCAUUCCCACCAUCCUACUUCUGUCUUCUUGGAAACUUUCAAGAAGACGUGAGCUUUAAAGACUGUUUCAGAGUUUACAUGCCUCUUUCAUUGUCACUGACAUUUUUCGGAUCGUGAUUAAAAAGGCCAGUCUGUUGCAAAUUUCAUAAAUUAGUCUUUUCUCUCUGUUCUGCUGUCAGGUUGCCCUUCUCACUAAUGUCACCACAUGUCACUGCUGCCCUAGCCAAUCUCAAUUUGACUGAAAGGGUUUGACUAACUUUUGGGUCCUGUUUCCUAUAAUUGGUAACUUUGCCAACUUUUUGGUUUUACACUGUUUCACUCAGAAUAUUAUUAUUCAGGCAAAGUUAAUUUUCUGUUCUAAACAAGUCUUUGAUACUCAGGGAUAUGAUUGAGAAUUCAAUUUUUGUCUUUAACAAAACAUCACAGUUUGCAAAACAUCCCCCUUCCCCUCUUCAGGUCUACUAUCUUAGUUUACUCCUCCAAACCCUGUAAGAACAUACCAUCAGCCCUAUUUCACAGAUGAGGGCCACACAAUUGUUUAGAAUCAAAGACUGUGUACCG